rnacentral:lncRNA from 1 species
GGAUUCUCCCUCGUCAUUUCAUAGUCUCGAAGAAAAGCAUCCACAAUUGGUCAGUUUUCUUUUUCUUAUUAAAUCCCAUAAGCUAGUUGGCUUGCCUUAUGAUGUAGGCGUAGGCUUGUGCGUGAUAUGGAUUUGCUUUCUGAAUAAAUGAAUGUUAUAAUUUCUUUUGGAUGCUUUUAUUAUCUUCUUUUGAAGUGGCAAAAGGUUGAGGUGUGAUAAAAAGUAUCUGCUGUGCAUUUAGAUUUGUAGUCUAUUGCUUUUGUUUGUGGGCAGAAUCCAUGCAUAAUUUUAGCUGCCAGGGAAUGUAAUGCAGCAAUUAAGUCGUGAAUAGUGAGAUGCCAUUUCAUCAACUUGGUAACUUGCAGAAGUCGAAAUGCUAGGUCUUUCUAUCUUUUCUUUUCUGUUAUGAUUUUCUUGGAUGUGUUUGUACUCGGGAUAGCUUCAUAUUAUCGGCUUGAGAAAUAGUGUGAACCUAGCAUUCUUGGGUGGUCCCUUUCUGUCAGUGUGCUGUGUUUCUGUUGGUGCACAUCUGCACUGAACAAAUAGCACUGAAGCUCCAGCAGUUACUGAAGUACCUAACUGGCUGGUGAAUUCAUAGGGGAACUCAUAAAAAUAUUGUUUGAGUUUUGAAGAUUUGAGAGUCCCACUGCCUUCUGAUUCUGUGGCUGCGCUUUUCAUAUAUUCAGAUUCUUAGGCGAGAAAGUGGCCCUUUUCAGUUUAUAUCCAUGUACAGGCUUCUUAGGUGCCUCUGCCUAAUAGAUAAUUUACCGGCUCCGCUUCUCUUUACGUAGAUUUGAUCUAUCCAUAAGAGGGAGCUUUCUUUCAUUCCACAUAUGGUUCGGACUUUAGAAAUUGCUUAUAUAGAUGGUUUUUUGCCUUAUACUACGUUGAUUUAAAAUAGAAGGGUUUUUGACUAUAAUGAGAUGUUUAAUUGGUUACAACGGUAUUUCAUAUAGAGUUAUAGCCUCAUGGCUAACUAUUUUCUCGAGUUGGUCUGGUGACUGAGAAUUGUGGAGAAUGCACACAUGUCCUUGUCGAUCAACUUGUGCAAGUCGAGGAUAUUUUGCUUGAUGCAGUUGAGGCCAAGAAACAUUUCGUGCAUAGUAGCUGGCUUGAGGUAAAAUUAUAUUGAACAUCUCCCAGGGCUACUUUCUGCUUGUCACUUGGCAAUCUAGUUAGACAUUAUAACUGAUGAUUUUUCAUUUUCUUUAUGGAUUUAAUUUGACAAACCUACUGGGCAUUCCCUUCAAAAUAGUUCCACUAAUCCUGAUCUGUCUCAUGUAUGUGUUCACAUAUUUCUCAUGGUCUAUAGUUUUCCUAGCGUUAUCUGUUAUUGGUAAGACAAAUCCACCUCUAGUUCUUUGGUUUACGUAGCUAGCUGUUUGGUGGCUAGUGUUUUGAAAGGUGGAAGGUUUAAGGUGUGAUUCAAGGUACAAAAUUGCAGUGUUCUGUGGGAUUGUUGGAGCAGAUUCUGCCUUUUAAGGGAUUUUCUUCUUUUUCAAAGUCAAUUUUUGUUCUGUUAAUUAUUGUCGCGACCAAUUUUUUCGGGUGUGAACCACCUAGGGUUUGGCUAAUGGAUUGUUAAGCCUAAACUUAACUCGGGCUCUCCCAAGCCCAUACCAAUUCACGAUUUUCGGUUCAAGUUCUUAACAUGCAAAUUUUUUUUAAUUUGGAGUCGCCACUAAUCUAUUUUAAUCUAUUUUUGGUGAGUCGAUUAGAAACCCAAGUAAAGUAAUAGGAGUUUUACUUUACUCCUACGAACCAGAGAUUUGUGAGUCCGGGGACUUGGUUACACUACAUUUCUCUAAUGCCCUUUCGGUACCAUUCUUUUAAUUUCAAAAAUGUUUUUUGCAGGCAGCUUGAAUUGAUUUUAAAUUCUAACAUGUGAGGUGACCAUGCAGGUGCGCAAACCACCAAUUUAACACUCAAGAAAGCAAAUGAAUAAAUUGCAGGACUUACCUCAUAGCAACGAAAGCAUCUGCGUUGUUAGUUUAGAAUUCACAUUAGCAGUCCUAAAUAUGAUUUCUAAUUAACAGGCAAUUUUUGUUUUGUUUUCACUUAAUUAAUGAAAAUCAUGCAAUAUGCAAUGCAUGCCACUAAUUUAACAUGAAAUGAUAUGACAUGGCAACAUGACUUAGCUAUAUGACCUAAGCAAUAUGACAUAACUAAGCAUGUGGUCUAUCCUAAGCAUGAGAUGAUUUAUUCUAAAUAAUUUUUUUAUUUCCCAUGAGAUUUGAAAUUAAAAAAAUGCAACACUUAAAUAUGCAAUCUAAAUUAAUCUAAUGACUUAAUUCUAAUGACGGGCAAUUUCUAAUUAGAAAUAAACCUAACAAUAAUCACUAAAUGACGUGCAUUUCAUGGACCUAAUUCUAUAUGACAUGCAAAUGACAUUUUUUAUUUUGAAAAUGCAAUCUAUCCUAGAAAUUGCAACUAAUUUAUCCUAAGACAAAUUUUAUGAAAUUUGAAAUGAUCUAGCUAGAUUAAGAUUUUAUCUAAUUUAAACUAGGGAUUAAGUCAUAUUAAAUCCUAAUUUAAACUAAGACAUUAUCUAAAUCUAAAAUGCAAUUUAUCUAUAAAAAAUGAUCUAAAUUUAAAAUGAAAUAUGCAAUUCUAAUCUAAUAUGCACAAUGAUUUUUUUUGUGUUUUUCUUUAAGAAAUUCGAAAUUAAAACUAACAUGCAAAACUAACAACCUAAAUAAUUGCACUUUCUUUUUCGGAUUUUUUAUUUAAUAAUUCGAAAUAAGAUUGCAAUCUUAAAUAUGCAAGAUAACAACAAACCUAAUCCUAAUUAAGAUUUUUUUAUUUUUUAUUUUACGAAAAUAAGAUUUGACUCAACCAACUUGACGAUAGCAAAUCAAAUAAGAUAAGAUUGAUAUCCAAAAAUUGGCGAACCAUAUCUCGCGCAUGAGAUCGGGUUGAUCAAUUUUAAAAUUAAAUCGCGAAUCGAAUCUCGGGCUUGAGAUUGGAUUGUCGAUUUUUGUAAGGGAUUGCGAGUCGGAUUUCGGGCGCGAAAAUCGGACUGUCAAUCCCUAGCUUGAUAGUGCUUGAUAGACUAUUUCAUAUUGGGAUAUCAAUAAUAUAUCAAGGAACAAUUCCACUAAAACAGAAUAUUUAAAAAAAGUAAAAUAAAAGAAAAGAAAAACCACCUAAUCAGAUUUUCUUUUUCUUUUUCUGUUUUUCUUCUUUUCCAGACACCGCUCGUGGAUUUCCAAGGGAGCCGGCUAAUCGGUUCGGCAAAGGAGGCUCCGGCCAAGGUGAACCAACGGUGGCAGCAACACAGAAGCAGAGCUAGGGAGGCUCGGGUUCGGACGGGCAGGGGCCGGCGUUGGGCGGAUCAGCGUCGGUGCUCGGCGGCGUGGGCGCGGCAGGCUUAGGCGUUGUGGGUCGUUGUUGAGGCGAACGAGCGGAGCAGCGGCGGGUCGGAUCGAGCGGCAGAGGCUCGGUGAGCGUGGCGGACGGGCCUUGGAGCUGAACUCGGGCGUCGUGGGCGGAGGUCUCGAGGGACGAUGGCCGACGGUAGCGACGGCGGGCUUCGUGUGGCGAGGGAGGCUCAGCUAGCGCCGGUCACGACGGGAGCAGGGAACGCCGAGUGCUGGGUCGCGAGCAGAUCUCAAACGCAGGCGUCGAGGAGCGGACGGAGCGGCGAGACCGGCGGCGAACGGACAACGAGGUGGAGGAGGACGUCGGGCUUCGCGGAGCGGAACAGAGGGUGAGCAGCGAGCUUGGGGAGAUGAUGAACAGUGAGGGUCAAAUCACCUCUGCUUUUUACUUUUCUCCUCUUUCUCUCUCUCUCUCUCUCACGUUCUAACUUUUUCUUUUUUCUGCAGUUUUUCCUUUUUUCUGCUCUUUUCCCUUUCGCAGAA